CGGGGCUGUAGCUCAGAUGGAUAGAGCGACGGUUUCCUAAACCGUAGGCCGUGGGUUCGAGUCCCGCUAGCCCCGU
rnacentral:tRNA from 1 species